rnacentral:misc_RNA from 1 species
CUCCUGCUGCUGCUUCUUCUUCUUUCCUCUAUGUUUCGUUACGGCGACGUCGUUCUUCAGCAGAUACUAGGGUUCCAGGUUUUCACUUCUCCGUCACCAAAUUGCUCAUGCUCUCCGCUACUUUUUCCUCCUCCUGAUUGCUCACUUCGUUGGAUUCCGUAUAAAUGAAGCACCUUUCUCUUGUUUUCGAGUAUCUCAGCUGCUGUGGAAGCUGACCAAAUAUUAGGUUCUUCGUUUCUUUGCUACUAAUUUUGCCCUUUUUUCAUCUCUCUCAAGUCUACUUCCGUUUGCAAAUCGAAUUUUUCGCGUCUUGGUAGAGAAUUUUAGAUUGUAUUGAGAUUAGGGUUUGGAUUCUGAAUUACAUCAAGUUGCUGAAUUUCCAGUUUUUUCUUUUCAUUUCUAUUUGAUGUUUACCCUUCGAGUUUAGGUUUUCAUCAGUAGAAUAUGGAGGAAGUUGUUGUAUUGAAAUUAGGGUUUCCGUUUGUAAAUUAAGCAACUUUGUUGGAGUUCAAGUGCUAUGCCUUGGUAUUUCAAGUUCUGGGUUGUGAAAUAAGAUUGUUUAGAAGAUAAUUACUGCUGCUGCUGUUGUUGUGAAAUUGGGGGUUUUGUUAGCUUUUGAUUUAUGGGUGGAUUUUAGUUGUUAGCGCAAGUUUUAGCAAACUCUGGAGAUAGUCUGUUGUACAAAAACUGAGAUUUUUAUUUUCUGCAUGAGAGAUGUUUUAUUCACAGUUUAUAUUGGCCAAGAAAGGG